rnacentral:ncRNA from 2 species
UUUCUUCGCACAGGGGGAAGGAUGAGAAGCUUCGACCAAGGUUCGAGUCGAGCGCAGCGAGACAACGCGCUUUAGCGCGGUCAUCCUUCCCACUCAGCGC